UACGUAGGGUGCGAGCGUUGUCCGGAAUUAUUGGGCGUAAAGAGCUUGUAGGCGGUUUGUCGCGUCUGCCGUGAAAAUCCGGGGCUCAACCCCGGCCUGCGGUGGGUACGGGCAGACUAGAGUGUGGUAGGGGAGACUGGAAUUCCUGGUGUAGCGGUGAAAUGCGCAGAUAUCAGGAGGAACACCAGUGGCGAAGGCGGCUCACUGGCUCAUUACUGACGCUCAGGCGCGAUAGCGUGGGGAUCAAACAGGG
rnacentral:rRNA from 1 species